rnacentral:rRNA from 1 species
AGUGAACGCUGGCGGUAGGCCUAACACAUGCAAGUCGAACGGCAGCACAGUAAGAGCUUGCUCUUACGGGUGGCGAGUGGCGGACGGGUGAGGAAUACAUCGGAAUCUACUUUUUCGUGGGGGAUAACGUAGGGAAACUUACGCUAAUACCGCAUACGACCUACGGGUGAAAGCAGGGGAUCUUCGGACCUUGCGCGAUUGAAUGAGCCGAUGUCGGAUUAGCUAGUUGGCGGGGUAAAGGCCCACCAAGGCGACGAUCCGUAGCUGGUCUGAGAGGAUGAUCAGCCACACUGGAACUGAGACACGGUCCAGACUCCUACGGGAGGCAGCAGUGGGGAAUAUUGGACAAUGGGGGCAAGCCUGAUCCAGCCAUACCGCGUGGGUGAAGAAGGCCUGCGGGUUGUAAAGCCCUUUUGUUGGGAAAGAAAAGCAGAAGGUUAAUACCCCGCUGUUCUGACGGUACCCAAAGAAUAAGCACCGGCUAACUUCGUG